GGGACAUCGCUGGCCGCCAGCACUCAGGCCACUUGGGGGUCUGAGUAGCUUUACUGAGGAGUCUUCCUGGGAUACUGUGCUAUCUCCAUCAUCACUUGUAUGCCUCAGUGACCAUCUUGGAUGUCCUUGUGAAUGGCUCGCUGGUUGCAACUCAGUCUUGCCAGGACAGACUCCAACUCCCUGUGACCCUGAACUGCAUAAGCAGAUCAGAAAAUUGAUGAAUAGAUUGAAGAAUCAUUUAAACACACGAUAAAGUGCCUCAACAGAAACAGAGAUCAUAAGCUACAAAGAAGAAAGCAUUUUAACAGGUAUCCUGUAUUGGCCCCCUGUGCCAAUGUCACCAGACCAAAGUUCUCUUCAGUUGUCUCCGAUGUUAAAAAGGAUGACUAAGAUGACACCUGCUGCUUCAAACAUUCUGGGAUGUUACGGCGUAUCGCGAUAUUAAUGAACGAGUCAGCCGCAUGUAUGAUCUGUUGGAUGGCUGGUCAGCCUUUUGACCAAGGAACCCUUUGAAGUUUAUUUCUCUAUCAUCUGUGUCGCUGGACUUUUUGUUUUUCUCUGACCCCUAGCCAUCUGACCACAGGAUAAAGUUUCAAAAUUGACAUUACAGAUUGUUUCUUUUUUAUCUUCCUAUGGUAAUUAAAGCACUCUGAGUUACAUUUCUCAAAAAUUGUUUUAUACUAAAACUUACACAAUAACUUGCACUUAUACAAUAACUAGCUGUGUAAAUUUCCUUACACAAUAGGCCUUGGUUACAGUUCUGCUGGUUAAUUUGAUAAAAUUAAGAGUGAAAGGGAAGGUCUACAGGACGGUAGUGAGACCAGCUAUGUUAUAUGGGUUGGAGA